rnacentral:rRNA from 1 species
UACGUAGGGUGCAAGCGUUGUCCGGAAUUAUUGGGCGUAAAGAGCUCGUAGGCGGUCUGUUGCGUCGGCUGUGAAAACCCGGGGCUCAACUCCGGGCCUGCAGCCGAUACGGGCAGACUAGAGUUCGGCAGGGGAGACUGGAAUUCCUGGUGUAGCGGUGAAAUGCGCAGAUAUCAGGAGGAACACCGGUGGCGAAGGCAGCACUCUGGGACGGUACUGACGCUGAGACGCGAAAGCGUGGGGAGCGAACAGG